rnacentral:rRNA from 1 species
UACGUAGGUGGCAAGCGUUGUCCGGAUUUACUGGGCGUAAAGGGAGCGUAGGCGGACUUUUAAGUGAGAUGUGAAAUACCCGAGCUCAACUUGGGUGCUGCAUUUCAAACUGGAAGUCCAGAGUGCAGGAGAGGAGAAUGGAAUUCCUAGUGUAGCGGUGAAAUGCGUAGAGAUUAGGAAGAACACCAGUGGCGAAGGCGAUUCUCUGGACUGUAACUGACGCUGAGGCUCGAAAGCGUGGGGAGCAAACAGG